UCCGGCUUAACGCCGGCAGUCUCCCUAGAGUGCCCAACUAAAUGAUGGCAAUUAAUGACAAGGGUUGCGCUCGUUGCGGGACUUAACCCAACAUCUCACGACACGAGCUGACGACAGCCAUGCAGCACCUGUGUUCCGGCUCUCUUUCGAGCACUCCCAACUCUCAUCAGGAUUCCGGACAUGUCAAGGGUAGGUAAGGUUUUUCGCGUUGCAUCGAAUUAAUCCACAUCAUCCACCGCUUGUGCGGGUCCCCGUCAAUUCCUUUGAGUUUUAAUCUUGCGACCGUACUCCCCAGGCGGGCAACUUCACGCGUUAGCUGCGGUACCAGGAAAUCGCUUCCCCAACACCUAGUUGCCAUCGUUUAGGGCGUGGAC
rnacentral:misc_RNA from 1 species